rnacentral:rRNA from 1 species
GAAAGAUUCAUCGGAAGAGGAUGGGCAUGCGGCGCAUUAGCUAGACGGCGGGGUAACGGCCCACCGUGGCGACGAUGCGUAGGGGUUCUGAGAGGAAGGUCCCCCACACUGGUACUGAGACACGGACCAGACUCCUACGGGAGGCAGCAGUGAGGAAUAUUGGUCAAUGGGAGAGAUCCUGAACCAGCCAAGCCGCGUGAGGGAAGACGGCCCUAUGGGUUGUAAACCUCUUUUGUCGGAGAACAAAACCCGGGACGUGUCCCGGACUGCGUGUAUCCGAAGAAAAAGCAUCGGCUAACUCCGUGCCAGCAGCCGCGGUAAUACGGAGGAUGCGAGCGUUAUCCGGAUUUAUUGGGUUUAAAGGGUGCGUAGGCGGUCCGUUAAGUCAGCGGUAAAAUUGCGGGGCUCAACCCCGUCGAGCCGUUGAAACUGGCAGACUUGAGUUGGCGAGAAGUACGCGGAAUGCGCGGUGUAGCGGUGAAAUGCAUAGAUAUCGCGCAGAACUCCGAUUGCGAAGGCAGCGUACCGGCGCCAGACUGACGCUGAGGCACGAAAGCGUGGGGAUCGAACAGGAUUAGAUACCCUGGUAGUCCACGCAGUAAACGAUGAAUGCUGGUUGUCCGGGUCGAAUGAGACCUGG